ACCUGACUGGCUUAGUCAGUAGAGCAUGUGACUCUUGAUCUCAGGGUUGUAAGUUCGAAUCCCACAUUGGGUG
rnacentral:tRNA from 1 species